rnacentral:rRNA from 1 species
GACAGAGGCCUCGAGCGUUAGGCGGAAUCACUGGGCUUAAAGCGUGUGUAGGCGGAUCGUUAAGUACCUUGUGAAAUCCCACGGCUCAACCGUGGAACGGCUGGGUAUACUGGCGGUCUUGGGCCAUUCAGGGGCGACUGGAACAAGCGGUGGAGCGGUGAAAUGCGUAGAUAUCGCUUGGAACGCCAACGGUGAAAACAGGUUGCUGGGGGUGUGCUGACGCUGAGACACGAAAGCCAGGGGAGCGAACGGG